UACGUAGGGCGCAAGCGUUGUCCAGAAUUAUUGGGCGUAAAGAGCUCGUAGGCGGCUUGUCACGUCGAUUGUGAAAGCCCGAGGCUUAACCUCGGGUCUGCAGUCGAUACGGGCUAGCUAGAGUGUGGUAGGGGAGAUCGGAAUUCCUGGUGUAGCGGUGAAAUGCGCAGAUAUCAGGAAGAACACCCGUGGCGAAGGCGGCUCUCUGGGACGGUACUGACGCUGAGACGCGAAAGCGUGGGGAGCGAACAGG
rnacentral:rRNA from 1 species